UAUUCUAUUGCAUUUCAAAAUCAAAGUUUACUUUUUUUUUUCUUUUUUUACUUUUAGAGACAUUUGCUUAUUACCAUGAUCAGCAGAAUAUCUUAAAGGAGAAUGUGCAGAAUUAUUCAAGGAAAAAAAGUGACAACAAGUCUGUGAAGGAAACAUCCUGGAACCAGAACCAUGUCUUUGUAUUUGAAGAGUUCACAACAGCACAAGAGAAAGGGUAUAAGUUUGGACUGAGUUCAUAUCUUCAAGAGAUGGGUUAGUACUAUUUAUACAUUAUCACUUAAAAAUGUUUUCUUUACAUGUGGAACUAAAAAAGUUACUUUUAAAGCCAGGGAGAAUGAUCUUUUUAGGAUGUUAACUUUGAUAAGGGCCGGUAUUUCUGAUUCACAGCACUGUAAAAAGAAAA
rnacentral:lncRNA from 1 species